rnacentral:rRNA from 2 species
UACGUAGGCAGCAAGCGUUGUUCGGAGUUACUGGGCGUAAAGGGUGCGUAGGCGGCUUCUUAAGUCUGGUGUGAAAUCUCCCGGCUCAACUGGGAGGGUGCGCCGGAUACUGAGGGGCUAGAGUGUGGGAGAGGAAAGUGGAAUUCCUGGUGUAGCGGUGAAAUGCGUAGAUAUCAGGAGGAACACCGGUGGUGUAAACGGCUUUCUGGACCAUUACUGACGCUGAUGCACGAAAGCGUGGGUAGCAAACAGG